rnacentral:rRNA from 1 species
UACGUAGGGGGCAAGCGUUGUCCGGAAUCAUUGGGCGUAAAGAGCGUGUAGGCGGCCAGAUAAGUCCGCUGUGAAAUCUCGAGGCUCAACUUCGAGCUGUCGGUGGAAACUGUCUGGCUAGAGUCCGGAAGAGGAGAAUGGAAUUCCUGGUGUAGCGGUGAAAUGCGUAGAUAUCGUAAGGAAGACCAGUGGCGAAGGCGGGUCUCUGGACAGUUCCUGACGCUGAGGCACGAAGGUCAGGGGAGCAAACGGG